GCUUGGGAAUAUGCCUUGAGGUGGGGACGAACAGUUGGAAACGAACUGCUAAUAACCGCAUAAAUAGUCUACGGACCGAAACGAAGGGGGAGUUCUUCGGAACCUCUUGCCUUUAGUAUUAGCCCAACGUGAGAUUAGCUAGUAGGUGAGGUAAUGGCUCACCUAGGCGACGAUCUCUAGCUGGUUUGAGAGGAUGAUCAGCCACACUGGGACUGAGACACGGCCCAGACUCCUACGGGAGGCAGCAGUGGGGAAGUAUUGCACAAUGGGCGAAACCCUGAUGCAGCCAUGCCGCGUGUG
rnacentral:rRNA from 1 species